rfam:Dipodomys ordii contig_30821, whole genome shotgun sequence.
GGAUGUGAGGGCGAUCUGGCUGCGACAUCUGUCACCCCAUUGAUCGCCAGGGUUGAUUCGGCUGAUCUGGCUGGCUAGGCGGGGGUCCCCUUCCUCCCUCACCGCUCCAUGUGCGUCCCUCCCGAAGCUGCGCGCUCGGUCGAAGAGGACGACCAUCCCCGAUAGAGGAGGACGGGUCUUCGGUCAAGGGUAUACGAGUAGCUGCGCUCCCCUGCUAGAACCUCCAAACAAGCUCUCAAAUAUUAUUCAAUAUAGAACAACACUAUUUAAAUUUAAAAAUGUAGUAGGUACACAACCCCAAGGCUUUAGUAUUGUUACAGUGGGACCUGGGAACAUUAUGCCUCCCACCCCU